rnacentral:rRNA from 1 species
UACGUAGGGGGGCUAGCGUUGUCCGGAUUUAUUGGGCGUAAAGAGCGUGUAGGCGGCCAGAUAAGUCCGCUGUGAAAUCUCGAGGCUCAACUUCGAGCUGUCGGUGGAAACUGUCUGGCUAGAGUCCGGAAGAGGAGAAUGGAAUUCCUGGUGUAGCGGUGAAAUGCGCAGAUAUCAGGAAGAACACCCGUGGCGAAGGCGGUUCUCUGGGACGGUACUGACGCUGAGACGCGAAAGCGUGGGGAGCGAACAGG